rnacentral:rRNA from 1 species
UACGAAGGGGGCUAGCGUUGUUCGGAAUUACUGGGCGUAAAGCGCGUGUAGGCGGGUCUUUUAAGUCAGGGGUGAAAUGCCAAGGCUCAACCUUGGAACUGCCUUUGAUACUGGAGAUCUUGAGUCCGGGAGAGGUGAGUGGAAUUGCGAGUGUAGAGGUGAAAUUCGUAGAUAUUCGCAAGAACACCAGUGGCGAAGGCGGCUCACUGGCCCGGAACUGACGCUGAGACGCGAAAGCGUGGGGGAGCAAAACAGG